UUUCUUCGUUACUCAUCAAACUUUCUCUCUCCUCCUCCUCUUUCUGUUUCUCUCUAUAUAUUAUUUGAUCGUUCCUUUUCUUUGUACUAAUCUUUUUGCGACGCUCCUUCAGAUCAUCGAUCGCUUCUUCGAUGUUUGAAUGAUUUCGACGAUCUGUUUCUUCUCUUUCAUGGAAAAGAUCAAAUCAACAAUGGCGGAAGCACGGAUCCAUUCUUUGAUUUUCGAUCGAUGAUCUGAUCUUUUGCAAAACAGCUCAGGAAAAAUUAGGAUGACAAGGGGAAAUAUGGCUUGGAGACUGAAGAACUACUGAAGCUGCUCAACUAAUUUCUUUGGAAAGUUUAUUGCUUUCUGUUUAUUUAUUUAUUUAUUUUCUUCGUUUCAUUAAAAAAAAAAUUGAAAGUUGAUAGAUCUGUAACUAGAUAUGGGAAAUGAGAGAUUUUUAGUACAGAUUUUGUAAUUGUAUUUAUUAUAAUUAUAGUUUAUUG